rnacentral:lncRNA from 1 species
CACAUAAAACACCUGUCAAAACCUGAUUUCCUAUAGGAGGUAGAUAAACGCUGCAGCACAGAUGCAGCAACAAAUAUUUUACCAACAUAUCCAUAUGUGAAUUAUAUCAGAAUUAAUCAUUUUCAGCCCUGAAAGUAUUUUGUGUUGGAAAAGAAUAUGCAAUGAAGCUGGGCAAGAGGCUCACAUUCUUUGUUAGAGAGGCACAGCACAUAAGUUAUGGGAAUAGGAAAUGGAUGAGACACUGCUAUUGAAGGUCAUUGGCAAGAAAAAAAAUAUUUUUUCUUUAAACAACUAUAGUUAGAAGGUUAUGAUUGCUGUUGGGCUCAUAGGCAUUUUCUUUGAUGCAAGACGAGAGGAAGGAAGGAAGGAAGGAAGGAAGGAAGGAAGGAAGGAAGGCAGGGAGGAAGGAAGGAAAAAAUGAGUAAUCAUAUCAACUAGUAGACAAAUUAUAAACAAAACAAAUAAUUAAAAUAAUGGUGGGGCUUAGAUAGUUGCCUGCCUUUACUCCUUAGCCACUAGUGUUUGCUCAUAGAUUCUGUUAACAUUUGCAACCAAAGAUUUCAGUUGUGUAUCCUAUGACUUUAGCUGUGUGGUUCCUUCUCCUGAAAUGUUUUCUUUUCUGCCUAUGACAUUUAUGGUAUGCACUGCUCAGAUCUUCCUUUAAGAGAGAACUUGAGGGCUGGGGCUGUAGCUCAGAGGUAGAGCUCCUACCUUGCAC